ACGGAGGGUGCGAGCGUUAAUCGGAAUCACUGGGCGUAAAGCGCACGUAGGCGGUGUCGUAAGUGGUAUGUGAAAGAAGAGGGAAGAACCGGGGAACUGCAUUCGAUACUGCGAUGCUUGAGUGCCAGAGAGGGUGGCGGAAUUCCAGGUGUAGGAGUGAAAUCCGUAGAUAUCUGGAGGAACACCAGUGGCGAAGGCGGCCACCUGGCCGGCAACUGACGCUGAGGUGCGAAAGCGUGGGGAUCAAACAG
rnacentral:rRNA from 1 species